rnacentral:rRNA from 1 species
GAGCUAACCCGUACUAAUUACCCGUGAGGCUUAACCAUACAACACCCAAGAAGUGUUCU